GACGAACGCUGGCGGCGUGCUUAACACAUGCAAGUCGAGCGAUGAAGCACCUUCGGGUGUGGAUUAGCGGCGAACGGGUGAGGAACACGUGAGGAAUCUGCCUUUCACUUCGGGAUAACUCCGGGAAACCGGGGCUAAUACCGGAUAUUUUCAACUGGCGGCAUCGCCGGUUGAAGACAGUUUUUCGGUGAAAGAUGACCUCGCGGCCUAUCAGCUUGUUGGUGAGGGAAUGGUUCACCAAGGCGACGACGGGUAGCCGGCCUGAGAGGGCGAGCGGCCACACGGGGACUGUGACACGGCCCAGAAUCCUACGGGAGGCAGCAGUGGGGAAUAUUGGGCAAUGGAGGAAACUCUGACCCAGCGACGCCGCGUGAGGGAUGAAGGCCUUCGGGUUGUAAACCUCUUUCAGCAGGGAAUAAGCGAAAGUGAAGGUACCUGCAGAAGAAGCACCGGCUAACUAUGUGCCAGCCGCCGCGGUAA
rnacentral:rRNA from 1 species